GGUGCUAUAGCCAAGUGAGGUGACACUGAACAGAUUACAAUCCCAGAUUCCUCCAAGUCCAACUUGUUGAUCUGUUCCUCUUUGAGGGCGCAGGUUCGAAUCCUGUCGGCAUCG